rnacentral:rRNA from 1 species
UGACGGUACCUAACUAAGAAGCCCCGGCUAACUACGUGCCAGCAGCCGCGGUAAUACGUAGGGGGCAAGCGUUAUCCGGAUUUACUGGGUGUAAAGGGAGCGUAGACGGCAAAGCAAGUCUGAUGUGAAAUGUUGGGGCUCAACCCCGAAACUGCAUUGGAAACUGUUUAGCUGGAGUGCAGGAGAGGUAAGUGGAAUUCCUAGUGUAGCGGUGAAAUGCGUAGAUAUUAGGAGGAACACCGGUGGCGAAGGCGGCUUACUGGACUGUAACUGACGUUGAGGCUCGAAAGCGUGGGGAGCAAACAGGAUUAGAUACCCUG